rnacentral:sRNA from 1 species
CAGCAACAACAACUACGAAGAGGCACCCUAGUUUCGACCAGCCGAGUAAAAACAACAACAACAACAACAACGACGACAACAAAAAGCAUUCCAACUGACGAAGAUAAAUACAAAACACUACAAGUCUGAGAACACAACUGGUGUAUGUGUGUGUGUAUGUGUGAGGAAGAGAGAGCGAGAGAGAGAAAGAGAGGGCUAGCGAGCGUGCAAGCGUGCAAGCGAGAGCUGCAAUGAUCACUUAGUGGGCCGGCGCCCCUAAUUAAAUAAUUAAUAAUAAAAACAAUUUUUUUUAAUUUAAUUAAAAUAUCAACAAAGCAAGAAAAACAAUGGAAUCAACAAUAAUAACAUUUUUCAAUGGAUAUGUUUACUUACGUAUUCCUGAGGAAAAGCUGCCAAUGCCAAUAGCAAACACAAAUCAAAGCGAUAGUGCAUGUUUGACCCUUACGAGAACAACAACAACAACAACAACAAAGCGAAAAAGAAGAAUAUCUAUGCUCUUUGAUAGUAAACCGAUUCCGAGUAAACACAAUUGUGAAUUGCGCGAAACGCUAGCUCCCGGCAACAUGAUGCAGAAAUCCAGUUGCAGUGCAACAGCAACAAAAACAAAAACAAAAACAUUAACAACUGAUAAGGUAUUAGAAACAACAAAAACAAGGCCAGCAUCAUUGUCAACAACAACAACAACAACUAGAGCAACAACAACGCAUGGAAACAUUUGUGUUGUAUGCCGACAAGUGUUCGCAACAACAACAUGUUCCUGCAUUCAGACAGCAACA